rnacentral:rRNA from 1 species
AUUGAACGCUGGCGGCGUGCCUAACACAUGCAAGUCGAGCGGCAGCGCGGGAGCAAUCCUGGCGGCGAGCGGCGGACGGGUGAGUAAUGCUUGGGAAUCUGCCUGUUAGUGGGGGGACAACCCGGGGAAACUCGGGGCUAAUACCGCAUACGCACUACGGUGGAAAGCCGGGGACCGCAAGGCCUGGCGCUAACNGAUGAGCCCAAGUCGGAUUAGCUAGUUGGAGGUAACGGCCACCAAGGCGACGAUCCGUAACUGGUCUGAGAGGACGACCCAGUCACACCGGAACUGAGACACGGUCCGGACUCCUACGGGAGGCAGGCAGGUGGGGAAUAUUGGACAAUGGGGGAACCCUGAUCCAGCGACGCCGCGUGGGUG